rnacentral:lncRNA from 1 species
UAUAUAUAGUGGGCUGGUAUGCUUCUAGAAGCACGGAAGGCUCCGUGCUUCCAAGUUGUUUUCGAUGUUCGGACUUUCGAAUCGACGAUCGGCUCCGUAAGAGUUGAUCUAGAGUAUUUGAAGUACCUAGAAAAUACAUUUUGUAAUUUUUCGAUAUCAUUAAUUUGCCUAGUGAUCGAAGGGGCUUAAAAUCAAUAAUUUUAAUGGCCGUGGUGAGCCGUUUGCAAAUUUAACGGUGUAGAAAUAUCCAAAUCAUAUGAAAUUUUGAUAGAAAAUUUUUUAUACCAUAUAAAACAAGAUCACUAACUUUGAUCUAAAAUUUUAAUGUCAUAUCAUCAUAUUUUGUAAGAUUUUUAUUUUCAGCCGUUGAUUUUGAGCCACUUCGAUCACUAGGCAAAUGAUAUCGAAAAAUCACAAAAUUUAUUUUCUAGAUACUUCAAAUACUCUAGAUCAAGUCUAACGGAGCCGAUCGUCGAUUCGAAAGUUUGAACAUCGAAAAUAACUUGGAAGCACAAAGCGCUCCGUGCUUCCAAAAGCAUACCAGACGCACUAUAUAUAUAUAUAUUGGACCUGUUUCUUCUAAUGUAAUUUUAAUUUUCUCCUAUUUAAUUCAAGUUCACAUCUUGAGCCUAUCAAAAAAUGUCGAAUUCAGACAUAAAGGGGAUUGUUGAAUAUAAAUAUUAAAACAUAUUAUUUUUUGAUAGCUUAAGAU